rnacentral:rRNA from 1 species
UGCCGAAGAGAUUUGGCAGUGCUCGCAAGAGAACCGGAACACAGGUGCUGCAUGGCUGUCGUCAGCUCGUGUCGUGAGAUGUUGGGUUAAGUCCCGCAACGAGCGCAACCCUUGUCAUUAGUUGCUACGAAAGGGCACUCUAAUGAGACUGCCGGUGACAAACCGGAGGAAGGUGGGGGAUGACGUCAAGUCCUCAUGGCCCUUAUGGGUAGGGCUUCACACGUCAUACAAUGGUCGGGACAGAGGGUCGCCAACCCGCGAGGGGGAGCCAAUCCCAGAAACCCGAUCGUAGUCCGGAUUGCAGGCUGCAACUCGCCUGCAUGAAGUCGGAAUCGCUAGUAAUCGCGGAUCAGCAUGUCGCGGUGAAUACGUUCCCGGGUCUU